rnacentral:piRNA from 1 species
UGGCCGAGUGGUUAAGGCGUUGG